CCCGCUGAACUUAAGCAUAUCAAUAAGCGGAGGAAAAGAAACCAACAGGGAUUGCCCCAGUAACGGCGAGUGAAGCGGCAACAGCUCAAAUUUGAAAUCUGGCCCCCAGGGUCCGAGUUGUAAUUUGUAGAGGAUGCUUUGGGCGCGGCGCCUUCCGAGUUCCCUGGAACGGGACGCCAUAGAGGGUGAGAGCCCCGUCUGGUUGGAUGCCUAGCCUCUGUAAAGCUCCUUCGACGAGUCGAGUAGUUUGGGAAUGCUGCUCUAAAUGGGAGGUAUAUGUCUUCUAAAGCUAAAUACCGGCCAGAGACCGAUAGCGCACAAGUAGAGUGAUCGAAAGAUGAAAAGCACUUUGAAAAGAGGGUUAAACAGUACGUGAAAUUGUUGAAAGGGAAGCGCUCAUGACCAGACUUGGGCCUGGUGAAUCAUCCGGCGUUCUCGCCGGUGCACUUCGCCGGCCCAGGCCAGCAUCAGUUCGCCGCGGGGGAUAAAGGCUUCGGGAAUGUGGCUCCCCCGGGAGUGUUAUAGCCCGCUGCGCAAUACCCUGGGGCGGACUGAGGUUCGCGCUCCGCAAGGAUGCUGGCGUAAUGGUUAUCAGCGACCCGUCUUGAAACACGG
rnacentral:rRNA from 1 species